UCACGUUGGCGGGAAGGAAUAAUGGUGGGACAGAGCGAUGCCGGCAGGGGAGAGUAAUGCUGGUGAGGGGAAAGGAAUGGUGGAGGAGUGUAAUACUGACGGGGAAGAGGAAUGUUGGUGGGAAAGAGUAAGGGUGGGAGAGAAAUGUUAGUUGGAAGCGUAAUGUGGGUGAGAAAGAGUGAUGGUGGGGAGAGAAAUAUUGGUGGAAAGUAAUAUUGGGGGGAGAAGUAGGAUGAGUUGGGGAGACUAAUGUUGGAGUGAAGAGAACGAUGAUGGUGGCUCUUUUUUCUCUCUUUCUAAGGGAGGAAACCUUUCCCCGAAUGACCUCCCCUCUUGUAUCAUUGGCCAGAAUAGGGUCACGUGUCUCCUGCUUCAGCCGGCGGGAAGCAGCAGUGUCCUAAAGCAGAGGGACACUUGGAGAAAGAGUGUCCCCAGCCAGGAAUCCCUCUUGCCUGGGCGGGCCCACUAGGGUCUGCUUGCUACGGGGCUUUUUCCCCCCGACGCCCAGCUGCACCCCAGUGGCUUUCUUCCGUCACUUGCCAAUCUCUGUAACAGAGAAAGCCUGAGGUUCAGGACCUCUGAAAGGCAGAGCUGGCGCCGGGGAUGACAUUGGCUUCCCCUAGCCCACGGGGACCGAGAAUGGGGGACGCUUACCGCGGAAAGUUGCAAGGUUGGUACCUGUGCUAGACUGUGUCCGCGGCCCCAAUUCCCCACUCUUCCCUUUGUCCGUGCCUUUGCGAGAUAACCUCAUGGUGUUCUCCCACUGUGGGCAAAGCGUAAUUUUGCAUCCCCGGCUUGGCUGUGAGAUCUGUUUUAAUCACCGCGUGCCAGUGGACAUGCCUGGAGGACAUGCCAGUGGACAUGCCUGGACAUCCCCGCCGGAGGAGGAUGGGAGGAGAUCUGUGGAGCCUGGGUGAGAUCAGAGGAACCCCAAAGAUGCAUGAGAAAGAAUGGGUUUUUUUAAUGCCGAUGAGUUUUUGUGAUUUAAGCGCAAGCAUCGAUGUUAUGGCAAUAGCUAGCGGAUGCAGACCGGCCACUGCGCCCCACGUUUUAGAUGAGGGACCCCAGGCUCAGAGAGGUGAAGGCUCUUGCCCAGGGCACCUGGCUGGGGAUUUGAACCCAGGUAUUCCGUGCCCGCAGAGCCCAUCCUGGAGAGAAGACACUGAUCCCUGAGGGUGACAGGUGACAAGGCCGGGUCACUUUUGCCCUGAAGACCCCGGCUGUCGCCUGCUGUCUUGGCUGAGCCCUGAGACCGUCGGCUCCCAUUUAGAACCCUCUCUCUCUUUGAACAUACCCCUCACUUUAUUCCAACCCGGAUUUCUUAUUAUGUGCGUGUAUGUGUAUUUAAUAAUGAUAAAGCACUUGUAUGUCAUA